rnacentral:sRNA from 1 species
UCCGCUGGCCAAAAACGAAACUGUCUUGGUUGCCGGGGAAAAACUUUCGUGGUGGGGUGGGAAAAACUACGAGCGAAACACUUAGUGAGUAGUGGGAAAAGUUCAUGCGUAAAACAGCGGAGUAGCCAGCGAAACUUUUCCAUGGGAACUUUGGACACGCAGAACAAUGUCGAAAGUUUACUUUAAACCGGAAUGCACAGCAAAACACUUUGGACUCCUUUCCUUUUGGGCUACUCGGCAGCAACAGUUGCUGCUGGUAGCAUAAAGUGAUCAGUCGAUGGAGUGACUGUGGAUGCAGCUGCUGUUCCAGGGUAAACAAUAUCAAUCAUACGCCACGGCUGCUGGCAGAAAUGCGAAGUGUGGGGAAUGGAAGGAAGGAAGCCUUUGGGAAAUCAAUCUGACGGUUAUUUUGUAGCCUUAAGUUCGGCGCCAUGACAAAUAGCUAGCGGCUAUUGCGUUGCGCUCUCUGAUGAACUGCAUCUGCUGCCCUCACUAAAAUAAUAUCAAUCAUGC